UGACAUAUUAUAAAUUAAACUCUAUUGGUAUUAUACAGGUGAGAGUCCACAGAAGGAGAAAGAAAACAAAUCAUAUGCAUGUUGAUCGUUCAGAAUUACUUAAGUUGUUAAGAAGCUUAAAAGGGUAAAAGAAUAAUGGGGUUCGGAAUCCAUUUUCCGUGGCCUAGAAAAGGAAAAGAAUAACAAAGAAAUUCUUGACUUGAGAAUACGUCCAUUGCUUUGGGUUUGAGUUAAGAUUCUGAAAUUCCAUUCCCCAGAAUCUGACUUUUAUCCUGAACCCCAAGUCCUUUUCCCCAUAAGGAAUAUCAUUCCGUGGUCAUUGAUUUCCUUUUAUUUUAAGCCAGUGUCUUCACCCUGGGGUCAACAAGCAGGCACCAAUUCGAGCUGUGCGUCUUUACUAAUCAUGCACAGUGGCAGAGAUACCCUUGUACGAGAGCGUUAUCCGACACCGCUUCAUCGAAAAAAAUUCAAACACAUAAUUAUAUAUUAUAGAUCAACAUUAAUUUGGGACAAUGAAUAAAUUCUUUGAAGAUCUACAACUCCAAAUCCUAACUCAAAUAUAAGCUGAGUUGAUAAUAAGUCAGGCAUUGCUCACACAAAAUUCUGCGUACACUACACUACAGAUCAGGCAUUGACGAACUCUCCCACCAUUGCCUCCCUAAGAUGAUUCGAAAUGCUCUAUUUCUUUAUUUUUAUUUUUUUAAUGUGAGAUUCAUCUUGUACUUUAAAGUAAAAUUAACUAAAUCUAAGAGCUUUAAAAAGGAAAUGCAAGUACAAGAAAGAACAACAGCACAUGUUCUCUUCUUUAAAGUGGAGAAUAUAUCAUGAAAAUAGAAUAAAGAAAGCAACAAAAGAGACGAGGAAGAAGAUAGAUUGGAAUAGCAAAGGCAAAGGGUUCUUCUGCAUGUCUUACAAAACAGAGGAACAGCAGUCAUUGCUUUAUGGCAACAUCACGGAAAAGCAAAUUAAGUACUUUUAAUGUACCAUUACUAGAAAAGAUUAUUUGGGUUAUUCAGAGAGGCAUAAAAUGAAUGCUAUUGCAUGUUUAUACUUCUUCUGUUCCAAUUUUAUAUAUUUUUAAAAAUAAAAAAAUUUAGAAUGCUUUGAAAUGUUUGUCAUCCUUCCAUUUCUAUAAAACUCACAGCUUUCAAAAAUUCAUAUAUAUAAAGUUACUCCAUUUUAAUGUUCUUUUCUUUUUUUUGCAUUUUUUUAAAAUCAAACUAGCUUAUCAACUUGUAACUUUUAGUAUUGAUUCCAUCAUCACUAACAUCAUACAUAUAAGUUAAACUAAUAUCUUAAAUUUCAUCCUCAGCCAACUACCUUUCUGUAAAAUAAAAAGAUGAAAUAUUAUUCAUAGUUUGAUAUAGAAACAUAAAGCAACUACUAGAUCUUGCACAUCAUCAAUUAGAAAAUCUACUUUACCAUAACAGAAGGGAAACUGAGAAUGACAAAAGAAAGACAAACAAUUGUUAAAGACAGUUUGAUCAGAUGAACAACACUAUAACAAGACAGUUAGGUCAGAUAAAUACUAUAACAAGAAGUCUCGGGUUCAAACCUUGUGAACGAAGAAAUUUCCGGUAGGGAGCACUUCUCCCUUAAAUGGGUCUCUGCUACGCACAUUUGGAUUAGAUGAGCUAAUGGGUUCCGGAUAUCAUAUGGUUGAACCUAACAAAAAAAAAAUUUAACUCCAUAAAUCUAUUGAUUUUAGUACAAUAUAAUAGUCCAAUGCAACUCAUACAGCUAACAAUGCACAUCCUCAUUUCAUUCCUAUCCACGUGCCAGCAAAACAGUAUAAGGGAACUCUGCUUUAUACCUAUACCACUUUACCUAAAGGUUGUAAUAUAUUCCUCCAAAGCGCAUAAAAUACCCUAAGAUAUCAGAAUCAGUUGAUCUUUUUCUUGAAAGUUCAACUGACAACUGAUGUGCAUACCUUGUUCAGAGAUGAGGAAUUUUCACUUAUUUCAUAUCAAGAUGGAAAAUAAUUAAACUUAGAUAACAAACAGUCUUACAAACCCCUGAAAUUUAUCCAAAAGAUAUAUUUUUGAUACCAAGAGUCAUUUCCUAACUAUGCAAUCGUGAUUUGUUGAACUUGCUGACCAAUACAAAAAUACAGCAGUUUAGAUGUAUCAUUGCAAUGUUAACAAGGAAAAGGUGCAAAAGAUACUAAGCAUUUCAUAAACAACUAAGUUUAAAUUCCCUAGUUUUCCCUCCACAGAAAAAUGCAAAAAAAAAAAGGAAAAAAAAGGAAGAAACAAAUGAGCACAAAUCUAUGGUGUUUUAGUUUUUAUAAGUGAACUAGAAAUUGAAUUAGCAAGGCGAUAAAUAGAGAUCUCAAGUUUGUGUCACAAUAAACUAUGACAGAAAACUGACAGGUAUCUAUACAUGUUUAUUAAAAAUAAACGGGCACAAAAGAAUGUAAAGUAACUAUUUAUAUUCUCUAGAGCAAAUUAAGGCUCAAGUCAAGGGAAAGGCAAGUAGUCAUCUUCGAGCAAAUGAGUUGACAUGUUUUCCAUCAGGCGACUACGGAAGCAAGUAAUAUCACUUUAUUUCUCCUUUCAAAGGGGUCCCAAUGCCUUGGAGAUGGCUGUCUUACACCAAUUAAAGAAUAGGAAAUAUCUAACGUACUGGAGGUCUCCCUCUAUUUUAGUUCUAUAUAUCCAGGCCGAAUAAGUACCAAACUUACUGAAGGAGACAAAAAGGUAUUUGUUCCUUAUUCCAAUAUUCCUGGCCUUCAAACAAAGCCAAGGAGAAGCAUCUCUCCACAAUUUUUUUACCUUUUUAUCGUAUUCCUUUUUAGUUACUCAAACAUGAUAUAUUAAAAUAGCAUAGACUGAAAAUAAUGCUCAAGAUAUUCCAAAAGUUCAUAUCACUAAAUACAGGAACAGGAGCAAGAUAUUGCAUGAAAGUCUCAUCUAAAAUCAUUAAAUUCUUUUUACCCAAGGCAGAGUAUAGCCAAUAUAAUAGAAUAAAACAUGCAUAUAGGAAAUGCUGCCUCAACAAAUUCUUAACAUGGCCAUAGUAAACUAACAGAGGUUUAUAGAAAGAAAUGUAUUAGUCUUUUUAUUUUGACAUGAAAUAAUUGAAGCAUCUCUCAACCAUUUCCCUAUCUCUUUGCUUUGUUUUUUUUAUCCAAUACAAAGUACUUGAAGCUCUGGUCAACAGAAUCUUCCAUUUGAAAGGGAAAAUGGUUUUGAAGUUUUCAAGAGGUCAUACAUCAUUCAAUAGUGGAUACUUUCAGUCUAUAUCAGAAAAAAAUUCCAAAUUUAAUUCUGGGAAUAUGGUUCCCAAACUUUGCCAGAUAAAGAAUAUGAGAACAUAAAAGUCUCUGGUGGAUAAAUUCUUGUACCCAUUGUAAGGUGUGAAGUGUUUCAAGCAAGUUAUAGUGCAGCGGAAUAUCAUGCUAGGGCCCACAGAUAUGUAAAACUGGAAAGAUGAGAUCUCUUUUUGAGCCGGCUGUGAAGAUUCGAUUGGUUCUAGCGUUCAACUGGCCCUGUCCAAGAUUCUAUGCUUCACCUAGACUCCCUCUCUCUUUCUCACCCCAUUCGCUUAUAAGAGCUCUUUGGAUACAUCUUUGGUCUGUGAAGUUGUACAACAAAGGAGAUAGAUAAGAGCAGUAGUGCAGUUUGAACUGAGUAUCAGAAGCAGAAUUGUUCUCUGAAGAAUAAUACAGAAGAAUCAUGAUUUGCAUCUAAAGGGUAAGACUAGACUGAAACCAAGUACAGCAGAUCACUUUCAGGUACGUUAUAAUUAGUUGAAUUACUUAUAUCGUGCCUAUUAACUCGCACCACGAGACUUAAUUGCUAAUCAUCAUACAGAAGGCCAGAAGAUGUACCAUCAUCACCACCAGGAUAAGAGCAUGCACCCUUCAACAAGAAUGUCUAUCUCUGAAAGGCAUCUGUUCCUGCAAGGUGGAAACGGCAACGGGGAUUCAGGGCUUGUCCUGUCAACUGAUGCCAAGCCAAGAUUGAAAUGGACACCAGACCUCCAUGAGAGGUUUAUAGAAGCCGUUAAUCAACUUGGUGGAGCAGACAGUAAGUGCACACAAAUAUACCAAUUUCAAGACGCACCAGGAAGAUGUUAUUUCGUGAAGAUAAUUAACUGCACUAUUCUUCUAUUGCAGAAGCCACGCCAAAAUCAGUUCUAAAGCUUAUGGGGAUCCAAGGAUUAACCUUGUACCACUUAAAGAGCCAUCUUCAGGUUCGUUCUUAUUUGCUUUAUGGCAUUACAAAAUCCAUGCAUAAACAAGACAUUCUAUGAGGGACAUAUUCGGCGUUGAAGUUUAGCUACCAAGGCAAUAGUUCCAAACAAAACAACUGGUGGUAAGAGGGGAAAAGCAUCUUUUGCAUCAACUGCAAAGAAUUUUCAAAUUGUUUCAUUUAAGCAGCUGCCAUAUAUGUACUUUUAUAGUGUGAAGGAAAACUGAUCAAAACUUUGUACCUGGGCUGGCAAAAAUGCAGAGAAAUAUAGCCCUUUGUUUUUCUUUACAUCCAUAAGACUGAAGAAUAUUUCUGACAAUUUUUUGAUACUUUUAGAUUGGCCAGAAACUAACGCUUUACAAAAAUGCUGGCAGAAAUACAGACUAAGUAAGAAUCUCCAUGGACAAGCAAAUGCUAGUGGGGCCAAUAAAGUUGGUAAGAAAUCAAAUACAUACCCAAGAAAAUAGUUCACAAAACUUCGUUUACGGAGAGAUAACAUCCGAAAACUUACUGACUUUGUGGAAUGGUUACAGCAGCAGGAGAAGAUAGGAUAUCUGAGAAUAGCGCAACUUGCAUGAGCAAUCCAAGCAUCGGACCCCAGCCAAACAAGUAAGAACAAACAACAUUUGAUCCUUCAUUUAAACCAUUCAUCCUUCUAUUUCAUGUCUUAGCAAAAUCUUCAUUUUUUGAUUAUUCUGACAAAAAGUUAUCCAUUCAGAAACAUUCAAAUAAGUGAAGCAAUACAAAUCCAAAUAGAAGUGCAGAGAAGGCUUCAUGAGCAGCUUGAGGUAUGACAUUACUGCAGAAUUUCUCUUACGUAUGAGAAGUGAGAGCAAAGCCUAUGCCAAAAAUACUUGUAGUAAAAUUUGAGACUUCCUGGUUGAUGAUCUGAAAGCCACAAGCAUGAGAGUAUUGAAACUUGAUAGAAGGCACUUUCACCUUCAAGAUAAGCAGCUGGAUAUCUUCAAUAAUCUAGUGAACAGGCCCAGUCCAUGUGUUCUGUUUCAAGAAUUAAGAAUCUAAUCUAGACAUGCAUAGGGUGUUUUUUCUUGUCAAACUUCGAAGAAAAUUUUUCCUUGACGGCUUCUAAAUGAGGCCUAAUUGAACUGAUAUAGGUACAACGACAUUUACAGUUACGGAUAGAAGCUCAAGGAAAAUAUUUGCAUGCCGUGCUCGAGAAAGCACAGGAAACCCUUGGAAGACAAGACAUGGGAACAGUAGGAUUAGAGGCAGCCAAGAUCCAACUAUCAGAAUUGGUAUCCACAGUAUCUAACCAAUGCCUGAACCCUACAUUUUCUGAUAUACAAGAAAUAUCAGGAUUUAGCAGCCAACAAACACAAACUACCCAACUAGCAGAUCGUUCAAUCGAUAGCUGCUUGACCUCUUGUGAAGGCUCUUUGAGGGACAACACUAUGCAUAAUAACCAAAUUGGAUUGAGGCCUUUCGAAUUUACACCAUCUAUAGAAUGUAAGGAUAUUGAGAAUGACACCAGGAUACAACAGACAGGACUAAGAUGGUGUGACAACCUCAAGGAGAAUAGAAAAUUAUUCUCUGCAAUCGAUGAGGGUAAAGAAAAAGCAUUCACCACAGAGACGAACUGCAAGAACUUAUCAAUGAGUAUCGGACUUCAAGAUGGAAACUUGGACGGAAGCAGUAACCAUUCAGAUGGGAAAUUCAAUGAAACAAACACAGCCGUCAGACAUUUUCACCAGGCUGCCAACAGAGGCGAUUCAAUGCAAGAGAGGCAGAAGUCUUCACAAGAGUAUAAGUUGUCUUACUUUGCACCUAAACUGGACCUAAACAUACAUGAUGAAACAGAUGCAGCUUCAAGUUGUAAGCAAUUUGACUUAAAUGGUUUCAGUUGGGGUUGAGGAACCUUAUUAACAAAGGGCAAACCAUGAGAGCAGACGCCAGGUAAUUUGCUUCUUAUAUUUUGAUUGAGAUAGAGGUCGGCAAAUGGAAACAUAGCCCGAUGGUCUCCUUGGAAGGAAAAAAUGAUGUAUAAUAAUUAAAAUUCCAGAUCAAAUAGAAAUAUAGAAUAUUGUAACUCCAUUACAUCUUCUCAGAUCUUAUUUCUGAUCUCAUAUUUAACUUUCAUGCAAAAUUUGAUGUAGAAGAGGGUAUUAAUAAUCUUUAGCAGUUGAAUGAUCCUUCAAUCGAAAACUCUUGCUGCUAAAGUCCUUAGGGGUUCAUAAGCAGACCUCUUCUUAGGAAUAUAUCAUGGAUUUUGCAACUCCAUAUGUUGCAAAUACACCCUCAAACGCCAACUGCCAUAUGCUGCUAGAUUAUAAUCACAUCCAAAGUCACUUCAACAGAAUAUAGAGUCCCAGAAAUCAAACUAACGUCUUUGGAAUAUGUCAAAUAUAAUAUAAUCAUACUGGAAUAACAAAUUCAAAUAAAUCCAAUCACUUUCCUCAAGUGUCACCCUAAAAGUUAUUAGUAUAAAACUUUUCAAGUGUUAUCAAUAAUCACUUUCCCUUAUGAAAGAAGAUUCAUUGAAGCUCGGGAUAGAAAAUUGAUUACCUAAUAUCCAAAUUUUUAUGAGGUGAACUUCUCUUUCAAUGUCAACCUAAUUCUUUUAGCAUCCAAACUAUAAGAAAAAUAUUUAUCUGGAAGCUUGGUUCUAAAAUUGGCCCGCUCUUUUCAUUUAAUAGACAAUUGAAGAUGGGAAAAUUCAAAAUGUAACGCCUGUGUUGAAAAAUUUCUGGCAUUUUAUCAAACACCCAAAAAGCACACGCGGUAUGAAGCUUCAAACUUUCACCCACGCUCGUUUAUUACAAGCUGCAAAAAUUACAGGAACAAAACAAAACAAGCAAUUUUCUUCCUCGUAGAACAAAAUACAACCAUUCUAAGGUAAGCAAAUGAAGAAAUUCAAGUAUAAGGUCCUUUUCAUCCUAAAAAUUACACACAGGCAUAAUGCCGCCAGCUAAAUUUGUGGAAACAGAAAAUAAAAGAGAGACGAGGAAAACUUCAAGUAGUUCACGAACCGUAAGAAAUCUCGUGACCAGCGACGACCGGCAAAAGAAAUUUGGGACCGGGGAAACAGAAAAUAAAAGAGAGACGAGGAAAACGCAAAAAAAUCUCGAUUUGUGCGUGUCAUCCUUGCGCAGGGGCCAUGCUAAUCUUCUCUGUAUCGUUCCAAUUUUAUCGGAUGUCCCCAAGGGCUGUUACGUUAGGG
rnacentral:lncRNA from 1 species